UUAUGAGACACAUAUACGUGCAUUAUCUGGGGAAAAACUAUUUUAAGGUAAAAGCGCGAACGCCUGUCAGCUAAACCGAUUCAGGAAGACAAGAUGUUCCGAAUGUUGACAGCGCGCUUCGAAAAUCAAUACAAUAUCGCGCCUUUAUCUGUUUGCACGUUUGCAAAUAACGGUUAUAUGGAAAUUGUUCUAUCGUACUUAGUAUACCAAAAUCAAUUUAUAUCAUCUAUCUAUGUCGUAAAAUUAAUGUUACAUAUUAGAAAAUUAGGAAAUUGAUUACGAAAAUGCAAUAAAGACACGGUCAUCGUUUAAUUUGGUCGAACAUCAACUUGGAAUUUUGAGGAAACGCAACUUACAAUGUAAUUUUGCCAUUCUUGGUUUUCGUUUUAUUCUGAGCCACGGGAACAUCCACGCUAUACUUAUAUCCUUCGAAUUACGAUAGUAAAAAUAAUACGAGACAAGAAACUUAAACUAGGUCGUACGAAGGUAUUCGAUUGAAACAUGAAACACUUGCAAGAUAAUAUAGUGUGCAGGAUAUCCUCAAAGUUUAUGC